UACGUAGGGUCCGAGCGUUGUCCGGAAUUAUUGGGCGUAAAGGGCUCGUAGGCGGUUCGUCACGUCGGGAGUGAAAACUCGGAGCUUAACUCCGAGCCUGCUUCCGAUACGGGCAGACUAGAGGUAGGCAGGGGAGAGCGGAACUCCUGGUGUAGCGGUGGAAUGCGCAGAUAUCAGGAAGAACACCGGUGGCGAAGGCGGCUCUCUGGGCCUUACCUGACGCUGAGGAGCGAAAGCGUGGGGAGCAAACGGG
rnacentral:rRNA from 1 species